rnacentral:lncRNA from 1 species
GAAAGAGGGUCCCGCGUUCGAAUCCCGCCUCCGCUACGCCCCUGAGCGCAAGACUGAGGCCCAGGGCCGCGCAGUCAGGCAGGAAACGGCGCUCCUGGCGGAUGGAACAGCACGGGCAAAGGCUGGGUAUGGGGGUAUGUGGGGAUGGAAGUGCCCAGAGGGGCAGCGCGAUGGGGUUGGGGGCGGGACCCCGCAGGGCCUCCAGUAAGGGGCUAGUUGGGGGAUCUGGUCAGCCAGUGGCCAAGGCCGGUGGUCAGUGAGAAGUUGAUGCGGAGCGGGGGGGCGGUUUCAGAUCAGUCUGAGGGUGGAGAAUAGGAAAAGUGACCCGGCCGGGCGUGGUGGCUCAUACCAGUAAUCCCAGCACUUUGGGAGGCCGAGGCUGGCAGAUCACCUGAGAUCAGGAGUUCGAGACCAGCCUGGUCCAACAUGGUGAAACCCCGUCUCUACUAAAAACACAAAAAUUAGCCGGGCGUUGUGGCACAUGCCUGUAGUCCCAGCUACUCAGGAGGCUCAGGCAGGAGAAUCACAAGAACCCAGGAGGCGGAGGUUGCAGAGAGCUGAGAUCGUGCACUUCAGCCUGGGCUACAGAGCAAGACUCUGUCUCAAAAAAAAAAAAAAGUGACCCCAUUUCCCACCCAAACCUCAAUCAUCCUUCUCCCCUCUGGCCCCGCCUCCUGUAGUAUUAUUUAUUUCCCAUUGUGCUUUACCAUCUGUCUUUAUAUUUUAUAUUCCUCCCUUUAUGAGGAAGGAAAACAGUAUCAGUCCUCUAAAUACGCAGUCACUGCUUAGCUCCCUCUUGCCUGGCUGGUUUAUUUGUUGUUUGUUUUGAGAAAGAGUCUUGCAGCUGGGCACGGUGUCUCACGCCUGUAAUCCCAGCACUUUGCAGGGCCGAGGUGGGCGGAUCAUUUGAGGUCAGGAGUUCAAGACCAGCCUGGCCAACAUGGUGAAACCCCGUCUCUAGCAAAAAUUAGCUGGGCCGUAGUGGCGCACGCCUGUAAUCCCAGCUACUCGGGAGGCUGAGGCAGGAGAAUCACUUGACCCUGGGAGGUGGAGGUUGUAGUAAGCCGAGAUCAAGCCACUGCACUGCAAUCUGGGUGACAGGGUGAGACCCUGUCCCCCCUGCCAAAAAAAAAAAAAAAGAGAGAGAGAGUCUUGCGCUGUCAUCCAGGCUGGAGUGAAAUGGUGCAAUCAUAGCUCACUGCAGCCUCCACCUCCUGGGCUUAAGCCAUCUCCUUGACUCGGCCUCCCAAGUAGCUGGGGAUACAGAUGCACGCCACCACGACCAACUAAUUAAAAAAAUUUUUUUGUAGGGGCCGGGUGCAGUGGCUCACACCUGUAAUCCCAGCACUUUGCGAAACCGAGGUGAGCAGAUCACUUGAGGUCCAGAGUUCAAGACCAGCCUGGCCAACAUGAGGAAACUCUACAAAAAUACAAAAAUUAGCCAGGCAUGGUGGCGCAUGCCUGUCAUCCCAGCUACUCAGGAGGCUGAGGCAGGAGAAUCUCUUGAACCCAGGAGGAGGAGGUUGCAGUGAGCCAAGAUUGGGCCACUGCACUCCAGCCUGGGGGACAGAAAGACUCUGUCUCCAAAAAAAAAAAAAAAAAAAAAACUGUAGAGUAUUGUAGAGUUGGGUCUUGCUAUGUUGCCCAGGCUGGUCUCAAACUCCUGGGCUCAAGCCAUUUUCUUGUCUCAGCCUCCCAGAGUGGCUGGGAUUGCAGGUGUGAGCCACCAUGCCAGGCUUCCUGCCUGGGUUCUAAGGCUGGGGGUCUAUCUGGUAAGAGGGGAAUAAUAGCGAGUGAAUGUUGGCUGUUGGAGGCAGGUGGGCUCUUUCCCCUGGUGUCCUCAGUAGGCUGGAAAGGGCAUUAGAUUCUCAGUGUGUGAUUUACUGGGGUCUCUGGCAGAGGCUGAGCCAAACCCCCAAGGUGAGAUGUGUAAAAAGGAGGAGUUCCCCAGGCAGAAGGAAGACCGGGCCAGUUCUAGGUCAGGAGGAAGUUAUUCUCCAAUUGGGGCAAUUUUGCCCCUCUGGUGACAUGUGGCAAUCUCUGGAGACAUACUUGGUUUUCAUAACUAGGGGGCCGGGGUCGGACGCGGUGGCUGACGCCUGUAAUCCCAGCAACGUGGGAGGCCAAGGCGGGCAGAUCAUUUGAGGUCAGGAGUUCAAGACCAGCCUGGCCAACAUGGCAAAACCCUGUCUCUACUAAAAAUACAGAAACUUAGCCGGGCAUGGUGGCAAGUGCCUGUAAUCCCAGCUACUCGGGAGAGUGAGGCAGGAGAAUCGCUGGAACCCGGGAGGCGGAGGUUGCAAUGAGCCGAGAUCACGCCACUGCACUGCAGCCUGGGCCACAGAGCGAGACCCGCCUCAACUAAAAAUAAAAAUAAAAUAAAAAAUAAGUAUGAGGCUGGGAUGCUCGUGGCAUGGAGUGGGUGGAGACCGAGGAUGCUGCUCAAUACCCUGUAAUGGACAGCACCUCCUGACUCCAACCCCCUGCAACAGAGAGUGAUCUGGCCCCAAAUAUCUAGUGCAGAGUUGGAGAAACACUGCUGUAUAGGUUGUCUUGUUAAAUUACAAUUUUGGGGGGUUUUUUUUGGAGACGGAGUCUUGCUCUGUCGCCCAGGCUGGAGUGCAGUGGUGUGAUCUCAGCUCACUGCAACCUUUGCCUCCUGGGUUCAAGCGAUUCUCGUGCCUCAGCCUCCCAAGUAGCUGGGAUUACAGGCGUACACCACCACGCCUGGCUAAUUUUUGUACUUUUUGGAGAGACAGGUUUUUGCCAUUUUGGCCAGGCUGGUCUCGAACUCCUGGCCUCAGGUGGUCUGCCCGCCUCGGCCUCCCAAAGUGCUGAGAUUACAGGCAUGAGCCACCGCGCCUGGCCUUGUUAAAUAAAAUGUAUGGCAGGCCAUUGUUUUAGACAAUGGGGUCUCUAGUCCCCAGCAGACCAGAUAAAAUUGGAAUGGAGUCACUAGUGCCAGGUACCACGUAGUCAAACUGAUCUUUUAUUUUUUUUAUUUUUUGAAAUAGGGUCUCGCUCCGUUGCCCACACUGGAGUGCAGUGGCGCAAUCAUGGCUGACUGCAGACUUGAACUCCUGGAUGCAAGCCAUUCUCCUGCCUCAGCCUCCCGAGGAGCUGGGACUACAGGUGUGUGCCAGCACAUGUGGCUAAUUAUUAAAAAUUUUUUUGGCUGGGUGCCGUGGCUCACGCCUGUAACUGCAGCACUUUGGGAGGUCGAGGUGGGUGGAUCACGAGGUCAGGAGUUCAGGACCAGCCUGGCCAAGAUGGUGAAACCAGGUCUCUACUAAAAAUACAAACAUUAGCUGGGCAUGGUGGCGGGUGCCUGUAAUCCCAGCUACUCGGGAGGCAGAGAAUUGCUUGAACCCAGGAGGUGGAGGUUGCAGUGAGCCGAGAUCAUGCCAUUGCACUCCAGCCUGGGUGACAAGAGCAAGACUCUGUCUCCAAAAAAAAAAAAUUUUUUUUUUUGGAGACAGAGUCUCACUAUGUUGCCCAGGAUGUUCUCAAACUCCUAGGCUUAAGCGAUCUCCCCAUCUCAGCCUCCCAAAGUGCUGAGAUUACAGGUGAGAGCCACCCGUACCUGGCCUCAAACUGAACUUUAAAGGGUGCAGGUUUUCAAAAAAAAACAUUCACAGCCACCAAGCCAAAGGGGACCGGUUAACCUGAUAGGGAAGUACCCUCAAAAUAGAGGGGGUUAAAACAGACCCUAUGAAAAAAGUAACUUUGAAACAACCAAUUGGUUUUUAUUUCGUAUUUUUAUUUUUACUUUUUUUGAGACAAACUCUCACUCUGUCACCCAGGCUGGAAUGCAGUGAUGUGAUCAGGGCUCACUGCAACCUUGACCUCUCUUGCUCAAACAAUCCUGCCACCUUAGCCUCCCAAAUACCUAGGACUAUAGGCGCCCAGCUAAUUUUUUUUUUUUUUUUUUUUUGAGGUGGAGUCUUACUCUGUUGCCUAGGCUGGAGUGCAGUGGUUCAAUCUUGGCUCCCUGCAACCUCCGCCUCCCGGGUUAAAGCAAUUCUCCUGCCUCAGCUUCCCGAGUAGCUGAGACUACAGGCAUGUGCCACCAUGCCUGGCUAAUUUUUGUAUUUUUAGUAGAGACGGGAUUUCACCAUAUUGGUCAGGCUGGUCUCGAACUCCUGACCUCAUGAUCUGCCCGGCUUGGCCUCCUAAAGUGCUGGGAAUACAGGUGUGAGCCACUGCACCUGGCUAAUUUUUUUAUUUUUAUUUUUAGAAAUGGGGUCUUGCUAUGUUGCCCAGGCCAGUCUCAAACUCCUGGGCUCAGGCUAUCCUCCCACCUCCGCCUCCCAAAGUGCUGGCAUUACAGGCGUGAGCAAACCACUGUACCUGGCCUGGCUUUUAUUUUAAUUCUUAUUUCUCCUUUCUUCAGCCUUUUCUGCCUGUAAUGCAGAAUGCCCAUCCUCUCUGCUCAGCUCAUUGGAGUGCCUAUUUAAUAGAUUGAAUGCUAUCCAAUUCAUGAAUUGCUAAUAAGAGCCAAUGAGAUCAUUAAACUCAAUUUGUUGAAAUUCAUACUCCUUGACAGCCUCUUCUGGACAUUUUAUAUCAGUGGCAUUGUACACUAUAUGGCUUUUUUUUUUUUUUUUUUUUUUUUUUGAGACAAAGUUUCUCAUUGUUGCCCAGGCUGGAGUGCAGUGCCGCGAUCUUGGCUUACUGCAACCUCCACGUCCCAAGUUCAAGAGAUUCUCCUGCCUCAGCCUCCCAAGUAGCUGGGAUUACCGGCGCGCGCCUCCGUAGUAGAGAUGGUGUGGGGGGGUCUCCCUAUGUGGUCCAGGCUGAUCUCGAAAUUCUUUUCUCAAGUGAUCCACCGGCCUUGGCCUCCCAAAGUGCUGGGAUUACAGGCGUGAGCCACCACGCCCGGCCCUAUAUGGCCUUUUGUGUCUGGUUCUUUGAACACGUUUUGAGGUUCUCUAAGUGGGGAAACAGGUACUAGAAAGCAACCCAACGCUGUUUCCUCGUGGCGGAGCUGGGAGUUUGCAGCCAGGAAGUCUGUCUCUGGAGUCAGCGCCUCUGCGAAGCGAGAGCUGGACGGA